rnacentral:misc_RNA from 1 species
GAAAUGCGAUAAUUAAUGUGAAUUGCAGAAUUCAGUGAAUCAUCGAGUCUUUCAACGCAUAUUGCGCCCCCUGGUAUUCCGGGGGGCAUGCCUGUCCGAGCGUCAUUGCUGCCCUCAAGCACGGCUUGUGUGUUGGGCUUCCGUCCCUGGCAACGGGGACGGGCCCAAAAGGCAGUGGCGGCACCAUGUCUGGUCCUCGAGCGUAUGGGGCUUUGUCACCCGCUCCCGUAGGUCCAGCUGGCAGCUAGCCUCGCAACCAAUCUUUUUAACCAGGUUGACCUCGGAUCAGGUAGGGAUACCCGCUGAACUUAAGC